UACGUAGGGGGCUAGCGUUGUCCGGAAUCAUUGGGCGUAAAGAGCGCGUAGACGGCCAGAUAAGUCCGGUGUGAAAGUCAAAGGCUCAACCUUUGAAUGCCGCUGGAAACUGUCUGGCUAGAGUCCGGAAGGGGCGAGUGGAAUUCCUGGUGUAGCGGUGAAAUGCGCAGAUAUCAGGAGGAACACCAAUUGCGAAGGCAGCUCGCUGGGACGUUACUGACGCUGAGACGCGAAAGCGUGGGGAGCGAACAGG
rnacentral:rRNA from 1 species